UGCCGGUGCAACAGAAGUAAAAGGAGAAAGAUGUCAUUCGAGCACAGCCAUGGUCACACACGCCUGAGAACAGCUCUAAUCAGUUCAGCACUAUGUGGGGGCUGAGGGUCUUGCUGUCUGUGGCCUGCUGCCUGUUACACACAAGCUUCCUCCUCUCAUGCAACGGUUGUCAAAGUGAGGUUCAGGGACCCCGAGGCACCCUCCAGUGAAACAAGCCACGCUCAUCAUCAUCAACCCCCCCUUCAGAGUUUGCUGACGUGAUCAGGUGCACUCUUUCUUCAUGUCGAAAAAAAAAAAACCAAACAAGAAUGACUCACAAGCUGAGAUCAGAAACAUGAAGCAGGGUGACAGAUGCUGUGAUGGCGUAGCCUACCGUGCCGUGUCCUGUUUCACUGCUUACCGUGUGAGUGAUGGGAUGUGAUGCGAUACUGAGAUAAGGUGUUCAUCAGAUCUCUGGCUGACUAUGGCCGUA